ACGUAGGGUGCAAGCGUUAUCCGGAAUUAUUGGGCGUAAAGGGCUCGUAGGCGGUUCGUCGCGUCCGGUGUGAAAGUCCAUCGCUUAACGGUGGAUCUGCGCCGGGUACGGGCGGGCUGGAGUGCGGUAGGGGAGACUGGAAUUCCCGGUGUAACGGUGGAAUGUGUAGAUAUCGGGAAGAACACCAAUGGCGAAGGCAGGUCUCUGGGCCGUUACUGACGCUGAGGAGCGAAAGCGUGGGGAGCGAACAGGAUUAGAUACCCUGGUAGUCCACGCCGUAAACGGUGGAUGCUGGAUGUGGGGCCCGUUCCACGGGUUCCGUGUCGGAGCUAACGCGUUAAGCAUCCCGCCUGGGGAGUACGGCCGCAAGGCUA
rnacentral:rRNA from 1 species